CAUUUUCGAUGACUUUCAAAUGUAUUUAUGACAUUUUGUUUUUCAUCAAAUUGUAUUCAAUCACAUCCUUUUCAAGUUUUCUUUUUCAGAGUCCAUUAUACUUGAUGUAUGACAAUGUAUGGAAUUCGGAUUAAUAUAUGAAAACAUGGUCAAUGAGCAUAAAAUCAAUGGUCAUUAGAAUCAUAUAAUGCCGUCUUUAGAAAAACAAUCAUGGUAAUGAUGCCGAACAUUACAAAUUUAUUGGUGGAUAUCUGGUCACUAACAUGGUACAAUGUCCAAUGAAACAUUAUAUUCGUCAUCAGUCUAUUCAGAACAUGCCUGCAUUGAAUUGUCGG